CGUCCACGCUUCCUAAAGAUGUUUAUUGAAUCCCGGUGGGGGGAAAACCCGACGUUUUCGGCUUUUGGAAAAGUCUUCACCUCAUCUUGCAUGCAUGUGAAUUGUUUUCCCAGGAAAUGACAGUUACGGUCUACAUUUGGUGCGAAGCUAGACCCUGAGAAAUUGACGCGUAAAGGAUUGAAUAAGUUCUGAGGGUGAUUCAGGUUUCCACGCAUCUCUCUUUCCAGGUCAUGUAGCAUUUUUCCCGCCCCCAGUUUUACUUAGGCAUUUAAUAUCCCAGAGGCCGCUUUUGGCAUGGGGUUUGUGCGCGCCGCGGUGGGGACACGACACAAGCCAAAAAUUAUUCGCCCGACAUCUUGCCAAAUCUUGUUAGUGAGAAUUAACCACCGAGCGGGGGAAUUACAGGACUCGCUCGAGGCCCCGGUAGCAGCGGGGUCGGGCCUUCCAUUCUGGGUCUCCCCUGGAAGCACGACCCAAGCAGCGACGGCCGCCGCGGGGUCCUUCCCGCCCCAAACUCGGCCUUCCGCUCCGCCUUUGUUACUAGCAGAGCGGUUCCCUGGAGCUCUCAUCUCCGGGCCCCCAGGACCCCUCCUCCACUCCCCAGCCGGGCGUCGGGAGGGGCCCCCCCGCUUCCGAGGCCUACCCCCGCGAUCCCCUCCUACUGCGCCGCGAAUCCCCUGAUACCCGGGCUCAGGUCAAGUAGGGGAUCUUCCUUUUACCUCGGAUUACAAAAUGGCUCAGCACGGCACUGCACUGAUCCGGUUUCUACUUAGCAUUUAAUAUUUUGUUCAUAUAAUUUUUUUGCAAUUAAUUUUGUUUUAAAAAGCACUGCAUUUUUGAUCACUUUUCGGUGCCUCCGAAAUUUUAACGCCCACGGCACGCUGCUGCUAAUCGGAGGGGGCCACAACUGCGCACCUACCGAGGCCUCGGGGAGGUAGGCCCUUGGGCGCCAGGCACUCCGGGUGGGGAGGUCAGCAGCCAAAGGCUCACUGCGUGACCUCUCCGUUGGGGAGGGGUUUGUACUUCCUCCUGAAGGCAAAGGGGGCCUGUGUCCGGUUUCUCAUUUGCUGAGCGGCAGCAAGGCUCUGUCUAAACACUCGCUCUCACUGGUACACCAGAAGUGUGCGCCCUUUCCGAGAAGCCGCCCAAGUCCCGGAGGUCCGGGGCGGCCCAGGAACCCGGCUUUGCCCGGCCCGCUGACUGAGCGCUCUCCCGGCCUCAAGAAACGCCGACACUUUUAUAAGGGCUUGGACGAGAUUUCUCUUGGAGGAGCCUCUCAGUCGGAGGCAGGUCUGGGCUAAUUUCACACGUGUCGCAGGAGCUGGGGAGCCGUCCCUGGGCCACACUGGCCGCGCUCAGCUAGCCUUUGUUUCCCCUGCCCGACCCCCGCCCAGCGCUCACGUGGCCGUGGUUUUGCCUGCUAAAAAUAGAUGAGCGAUUGGUCUGAAGCUACAAGAGAGCCAAGAUGAUGCAAAAACUCUGUAGAAAAUCUAUGCCUUGGACAGUGAGCUGACCUUAGAUGCCAGGACAACAAAAUAUCAAAAUCACCUUUCUAAGGACCCAGCCUUGGUGAACAUAUUUGCCUAAUCAAAUGUCGAGUACAUGCUCAGAAAAGAUUUUUGGACUUAUGAAAUUAUUUCUAUAAAAUUCUUACCAAGAGACUCCUGGUGUCCUGUAUCCUGUCUGUCACACAGUCUUCAACCUCCCUACCAAGGAAAAAGGGAAUGAGAACGGUCUUCUCCUCCAGGUGACCAAAGGGCCCUUUUCAAAGCCCAUCUGGAUGCCCCUGCCUUGAACCUCAGCUAUAUCCUCUCCAGACCUGGCUUUCGUUUGGUGCAGUGGAAAAAGACACAGGCUUUGGAGCCAGACAAAUGUGGGUUUCUGUGCUAACUUGGUCAUUUAGCCACCUGGGGAACUUUGGAUGAGUUCUGACCUUUACUUUCCACAUCUUCUCAAUGGGAGUGUUACUAAAUGCUUAGGCUAAUUUGGGAGAGUGUCGUUCUUCAAAAUUUAUUCCCUUUCUUUUGGAGAAUUUUUUAAGCCGGGAGAUGCCUGUGAGGCAGCAUUUCUGAUUCAUACAUCAGAAUCAGAGGUGCAACUGGCAAAACUCCAGGUGCGUUGAGAGAAGCCUGGGUAGGUACAGUGUCGUCAGGCCAGGCUACUGAGCUGGCCCAGCUGUUAAGCCAGGUGUUUGCCCAUCGGCCAAUGUGCCACAAAAGGCCCCUGGAUCCUUUCUGCUGCGUCCCGCUACCCUGGACUGCUCCGUGCUCCCCCCUCCCAUCCCCCUCCAUAUGUCUCCACCCACCCCACGGAUCCCCACACACAUCUCACUGUAUCAGUGAGAACUUCUGUGACCCCUUCAGCAAGAAAGGCAACCCUUCCGGCUUCUGGCUUCCUCCAAUCCUUGCUGCCUUGCACUCAUUUCUUUCUUACUGUUUUCUGCACGGUACUUCUCCUUCCACCAAGAAAUGUGAGAAGUGCUGUUGAUGAAACCGUAGCCUCCAAUUCUACUCCUGGGCAAAGUAUCUGUCUUAGUUUGUUCAGGCUGCUAUAACCAAAUACCACAGACAGAGCGGCUGAGACAACAGACAUUCAUUUCUCAGAGUUCUGGAGGCUGGGGAUUCUGCCCAAGAUCACCGUGCCGGCAGAUCUGGGGUCUGGUGGGGACCUGCUUUCUGGCUUCCAGGUGGCCGUCUUUCCAUGGCAUCAUAACCCGGUAGAGAAGGAGGACACAAGCUCUGGCCUGUCUCUACUUACAAGGACACUAAUCCCAUUCAUGAGGGCUCCACCCUCAAGACCUAAUCACCCCCCAGAGCCCCACCUCUCGGGAGUACCAUCACCCUGGGAAUUAGGGUUUCAACAUCUGAAGCUUGAGGAGACACAAACAUUCAGUCUGCAGCAAGCUUCCCGCUUCCAGCCGGGGUUUUCCUGAUUUUCAAUGGCAGAAUUAAACUCAUCUUAGACAUUGCAGCAAAUUCACACGAAAGCCCCUGUCCAUAUCGUGUGAAUGGCAACACUGUAAGCUCUGUGCUUGAACCCUGACGAAACUCCUACAAUCCUCAGGCCGAGCUCUAUGCAGAACAAGUGCCGAGGCUCCUUGUAUCGCCCCCCCUCCCCCCUCCUGUCUCCCUCUCCCCCUCCCCCCAGCGCCACCUCUGUGUUUCUCGUUUGUGCUCCUUACGGUCUUUCACACACCCUGCAGGAUUCACCUGCUCCAGCACACCAUCACUCUUGCUGGCUUCUCUGCCCACCAUUUCCUGCACCUUUUAUGUGGUUUUGAUGUUUGCAGCCGGGGGACCCAGGACCACAGCUCAGGUGCCUGGAGAGACCCAUCCAGACCCUUAGCCUCCAGCUAGUCCACGGGGCCAACUUCUCCUUGGACCCCUCUAGCCUGAGCAACUGUCCAAAGCUCCAGGCAGUUUCCAAUCCCGCCCUGAAGAGGCGUGUGCUUUGCAGGAACUUCUGACCAAACUAGCUGCUUCCGCUCAGCUGAGGCGCACAAAGGCAGUCACAUUGAAACAGGCUUAUGUGUGUAGAUGGCUGUGCAGAGCAGAACCCGAGCUAAAGGGUAUACUUCCUGGCCUGAGGCAUAAACACCACAUAUACUUUUUUUUCUCCUUUCAUAAGGGAUAUUUUUCAGGCUUGUAAUGAAGUGUGGUCAGAAUGUAUUCGCUUCUAGAAUAUUAAGCCAGGCAGAGGUUUUUUUCCUUUUUUCUCUUUUAUACAUGUGAAUUAAAGUGGAGUAAACAGAGCAUACUGAUAAAUAUUUGACACAAAUGUCAGUGGAUGUAAUUCUAGAGCAGACAUUUUUCUGGGGGAUUUGGUGUUGGUUUAAAAGGAAAGGCAGGAGAUCAGACUAGGUACCUUUAGCAGUAGCUUCACAGAGUUUGGGGUGGGAAAAGCACAGAAAUGGUUUUU